rnacentral:lncRNA from 1 species
AAGAGCCGAAGGAUAAGUUUAAACCAAACAACCCUUUCGUCCGUCUCUCUCAAGCCCCCCUGAGAAACCUUAACGCCGCCCUUCUAAGAACACCAUUUUUACCGGCAGCGUGGCUCCUGUCUAGCUCCAAAUCAACACUCCUAAAAUCUUACACCCUUAUCGUCCCCAAAAUCUACCAUUUUUAUUUCAAAUCACCUGGUCUAACCCGAAUCUUGAAUCAAAAUCCAGGCUUUUAGAGCCAAAGCCAAGUUCAACGCUAAGGUUUAAAUUAAGAUCACUUCCCAGACAGUUAAUAUUCUAAAACCCAUGUUAAUCAACUAUUCCUUGUACCAAUGUGCAAUUAGCAUGGACUUCAGCUUGUUUCAAAGUCCACCGGCUUCAUACAAGGCCAAUACCAAUGGAUUUAUCAGGAGCGACCCCAGUCGAGCUGUGAUUGACUAAGUCCUUCCUCCUCCCUUUUGAUUUUUCUUUCACUGGCUCAUUUUCUUCCUCAUCUCUUUUCUCUUGGUGGUCACAAUUUUCUAGGGUAUUUUAAGUUUAAACCAGGUCCUUUUUCUUUUCCUUUGUAAACAGAACCAUUUGAAAGUUUUGAGUCACUCUGCCUUUGUUUAUAGCUUCCAUGCUAAUAAGCGUUAAUGUUUCGUUAGUCAGUUCAAUUGCCUAGUUAAUGAAGAUAGGCCCACUAUUGAUUUGUUGUUAUGAAAUUAGAUUUUUUAUCUCUUUAAUUUUUCCUUUUUUUCUGAUUAGAAAUUGUUCCGGGCCUUUUUGUUUCGGAAAACUUUGGUCUAGCCCUAGUCUGGGCCCAUAGUUGUAAUUGGUUCAUAAAUAGCAACACGCCCAAUAGUGAUUCAAUUGGGAGUCUGUGAUCCAGUUAACUCGGCCAGCUGACCCAUUUUGGGAAAGUUUCAGAGGUAAAAACAAGAUAAUUGGGGGUAGUUUGGGUAAUUAGGCACGAAAAUCUUGUGAAUAACCAUUUUAAGAAGCUUCUAGAAGCUGAACAUGAACUUGCUUGGCAAACAAGUCAAAAUUUGAGGGAUUGCUAAAAUAAAAACAAAAUUCAAAAGACUAAAAGAAAAAUUAAAAUCUGAAGUGUUUACUAUAGUUGCUUGCCUAUAAAGGCAUUGUUACCUUAAGCUAAAUUCAGAUUUUGAGGGCUAAAAAUCUUGAAAUAACAGAGUCCGGUAAAACUUAUCUCAAAUACUGUUCCAUUGGUUUUUUGGUUUUUGUUGAAGUUUUAAGUAUCUGAAGUAAACCUUGAAUCAUUUGAGGUUGAAAUGAGUUAAAAUUCAGUCAUUAUAAAGCUGGUUAAGUUUAUUCAAUUGGAAAACACUAUUAUAUUGAGGGUUCUGCUGGGAGUUCUGAAUUUCUCAUUAUCUGAAUGAUAUUCAGUUCCAUUUGAGUUGUAAAAUUAGAUUUCUGUUGUUGUUGAGUGCUGAGUUGUGGCUAUUUAUUGUUCCCUCAUUCCCAUCUUCCAUUUCAUUUCCACGUACAUGACUUUGUAACCCUUUGGCUGUGAAUUGGAUUGGAGGAAUAACAUGUUGUGAAUACAAAAAUGAAGAUCUCCUGAUUAUUCUUCAUUUUCUUUCCAUUUCUGCUUUGUUUUCCUUAUCUAUGGCCUUAAGUCAUAUUGGUUAUCUAAGGUGACUGAUUCAAUGUAUUUUUGUGAACAGCAUGACCACAGAUUUAGCUUUUGUGAAUGUUAUAUGGUAAUUAAGUUCGAUGGUCAUUCCAGGCUACUGCUUUGUAUAUAGUCACUUCACCAUUCUUUGGUUUCGAAGGCAGUAGUUGGAUUGCUUUAAAUGCAAUUGACUCGAUUUUGUUUAUUUGAGGCUGUUAAAUCUGUUGGGAAUUGGUUUCUAUCCCCAGCUUAUGUAUACUUUUAGAACAUGUGUUUGUAUUGCUGGUUUAGUGUAUUGUUUUAUUAGAAUUGGUAUUCUCGAAGAAUUUUGAUUCAAACCAUGAAUUUACAGUUUAGUUGAGUCUGAAACCUACUAAGCCAUGUGCAAUCUUCUGCAUUUUCUUUGGGUUUUCACUUGUUUACAUCCCUAAGUGUACAUGGUUGCUCACUUCAGCAUGAAUUUGAACAUGUUCUUGGUUUUCCUUAAUAUUCAAUUUAAUUUAAUUAAGAUCAACUUAAUUUUUGUUUCUUAUUUUUAGAUCCUGAAUUUUACAUCUUGCUCUCUCAUAAUUUGUUUUGGAUUUGAGGGAUACUUUUAUGGUCUUGAGAAGUAGAA